ACGGUCGGCUAGGUGGCCGCUGGAGCUGGUUCGCUAGGUUCUCCAGAGGAAAGUCCGGGCUUCACAGGGCAAAGUGCCGGCUAAUGGCCGGCGGGGGCAACCCCCGGGAACAGUGCCACAGAAAACAGUCUGCGCACCCGCUGAGCUUCGGCUCGGCCGCGGCGCGAUGGUGAAAACGUGCGGUAAGAGCGCACGGACUGCGCCGGCAACGUCGCUUUCGGCAAACCCCACUUGAAGCAAGGUCAAAUAGCAGGCGCCGCUGCCGCAAGGUGGCCGGAGGGCGGCCCGUUCGAGCCCGCUGGUAGACCGCUAGAGCUGCGCAGCAAUGCGCCGCGCAGAUGAAUGGUCACUCCCCACUUGGCGGCGACGCUGGGAGGGUACAGAACCCGGCUUAUGGCCGACCGUUACU
rnacentral:RNase_P_RNA from 1 species